UUAUUAAGUCUCCCAAACAAAGUUUGGAGACUUAUUGUUUUUGGUCAGUUCUUAUUAUUUUUAUUAUUCUUCCUCUUCCUCUUCUUCUUCUUCUUCCGCCACUUUAAAAAUGAACUUGUCCGCAGCGGUUCUCCUAAACGGCUUGUCAGAUUUACUUAGGAUUUUACAAUAUGUUAGACUAACAUGUCUAGGUGAGCCAUCA
rnacentral:lncRNA from 1 species